GACGAACGCUGGCGGCGUGCUUAACACAUGCAAGUCGUGCGGUAAGGCCCUUUCGGGGGUACACGAGCGGCGAACGGGUGCGUAACACGUGAGCAACCUGCCCUUCACUUUGGGAUAACUGCCGGAAACGGUGGCUAAUACCGGAUAUGACUUCCUCACGCAUGUGGGGUGGUGGAAAGCCUUCGGGUGGUGGGGGAUGGGCUCGCGGUCUAUCAGCUUGUUGGUGGGGUGAUGGCCUACCAAGGCUUCGACGGGUAGCCGGCCUGAGAGGGUGACCGGCCCCACUGGGACUGAGACACGGCCCAGACUCCUACGGGAGGCAGCAGUGGGGAAUAUUGGACAAUGGGCGAAGGCCUGAUCCAGCAACGCCGCGUGAGGGAUGACGGCCUUCGGGUUGUAAACCUCUUUCGCCUGCGACGAAGCGAGAGUGACGGUAGCAGGUAAAGAAGCACCGGCCAACUACGUG
rnacentral:rRNA from 1 species